rnacentral:rRNA from 1 species
CUGGCGGUAGGUUACACACCUGCAGUUGUGCGAGAAAGUAUCUUCGGAUAUGAGUAGAGCGGCGGACGGGUGAGUAACGCGUAGGAAUCUACCUAGUAGAAGGGGAUAGCCCGGGGAAACCCGGAUUAAUACCUGUAUACCUCCUUCGGGAGAAAGAAGGCCUCUCUUUGAAGCUUUCGCUAUUAGAUGAGCCUGCGUAAGAUUAGCUUGUUGGUGAGGUAAAGGCUUACCAAGGCGACGAUCUUUAGCUGGUCUGAGAGGACGAUCAGCCACAUUGGGACUGAGACACGGCCCAGACUCCUACGGGAGGCAGCAGUGGGGAAUAUUGGACAAUGGGGGGAACCCUGAUCCAGCCAUACCGCGUGUGUGAAGAAGGCCUUCGGGUUGUAAAGCACUUUAAGCAGGGAGAAAAAGUUAUAAGUUAAUACCUUAUAACCGUGAUGUUACCUGCAGAAUAAGCACCGGCUAAUUCCGUGCCAGCAGCCGUGGUAAUACGGAAGGUGCAAGCGUUAAUCGGAAUUACCGGGCGGUAAAGCGCGCGUAGGUGGUUCGUAACGUUGGAUGUUGAAAGCCCUGGGCUCAAACUAUGAACUGGGUCCUAAAGUAACUCCCUAGAGUACGAAACAAGGACGUAAAAUCCUGGUGUACCGGGGGAAUGGUAAAUUUAUACGACAACCAGGGGAAGGGGGCCCCUGAACUGUCUGACAUGGUGCGGACGCUGGGUGGCACAGGUUGAUACCGGUAGUC